AUUGAACGCUGGCGGUAUGCCUUACACAUGCAAGUCGAACGGUAGAGGGGCAACCCUUGAGAGUGGCGAACGGGUGAGUAAUACAUCGGAACGUGCCCAGUCGUGGGGGAUAACGUAGCGAAAGCUACGCUAAUACCGCAUACGACCCGAGGGUGAAAGCGGGGGACUCGCAAGGGCCCCGCGCGAUUGGAGCGGCCGAUGGCAGAUUAGGUAGUUGGUGGGGUAAAGGCCCACCAAGCCUGCGAUCUGUAGCUGGUCUGAGAGGACGACCAGCCACACUGGGACUGAGACACGGCCCAGACUCCUACGGGAGGCAGCAGUGGGGAAUUUUGGACAAUGGGCGAAAGCCUGAUCCAGCCAUACCGCGUGCGGGAAGAAGGCCUUCGGGUUGUAAACCGCUUUUGUCAGGGAAGAAAUCUUCUGGGUUAAUACCUCGGGAGGAUGACGGUACCUGAAGAAUAAGCACCGGCUAACUACGUGCCAGCCGCCGCAGUAACAC
rnacentral:rRNA from 1 species